rnacentral:lncRNA from 1 species
GCCCUUCAGCAACUGUAGGAGCGGGCGUGGUGUUGUCGCUACUGUCAGAUCCUGGACCGGGCAGCCGACUUUUUCUUGACUUGGACAUCAGCAGUGGAAGCAAGGGAAGUUUCAAGACACACAGUAAAGUUUGCUUCAGUCCAGGGAUCACAGUGCACAAAACCCGAGCAUACUUCUCUCUGAGCUCUCCGUGAUGUUGAAAAAGAAGCUUCUUCAAAGAUGACCAAAUGCUUACCCUGUCUUGUGCCCAGCUCAGUGUACAGAGAAAUAACUACACUGAGAGAGAAACAAAACCAGGAAGCAGUCCCUGCCCUGAGAAGAAGCAGCCAUUAGUACACAGAGGAAAGUGCUGUCAUCAGAACAAAAUGCACCCUCAUCUCUGAUGUCACAAACCACAUCACAUUAAGCUCAAAUUAAUGCCUUGACUACUGUGUCUCUGCACGGAUGAUGCUGGAUCGUUGGCUUUGUUCCUUAGUCUCCGCGUGUAAAACAGUUGGCUGUUGCUCAUGUUGCACAAGUACUUUAU